CGGGUAUGAAGGCUUGCAUUUUUCAGGUGUCCUUUUAACUUUGCCUUGUUUCAUAACUGCCACAGAUUUUGUAAUGCUAUUUCAUUUAUGUAUGUGCUAAAAUAAAGAUGAGAGUAAUAACGUAAACAUCAUGUGUUCGUAUAGCCUAUGAAUAUCAGAACUAAUUUGGGUUAUGAGAUCUAUUUGACAAAGUACAGGUAACUGAUCUGCUUUUGGAAACUCAGUUGACAGCUUAACUCCAGUGAAAGACAAGAACAUUUUAGUCAAACCUUGUAGAAAGUAGGUGUAGAUUUAACCUGCAAACUCGAUAUGCUACCUAGUAUCAAGAGUAUAACAAAGUUGUCAGCAGCCAAAUGUAAAACAUUCUAAAGUGCUGCCGGUAUAUAGAAAUGGAAGGCAGCAAUAGCAGCUCAUUUUUUAAUGUGUGCACCGUGUAAGAAUCUACAAGGGUGAGAUAAAGAGCUCUGACAUGGGUAUUUCGGAUCUAUAACUUUUGCAGUCUAUAGAUCAUUUAACCCUCUAGUAGUUGGUUGAAACUUGCAAGCAACAUCCAACAUCAUCCCCUAAUACCUGAGAGGUAUCUACUGAAAUCAUUCAUAGUGCCAUUGCUCUCUCUCUCUCUCUCUCUAAAUAAUGUUCACAUGAAUUGAGCAUUCAGGAUAUGAUAAUUUUAGUCUCAUAAGGUGCAUCUAGUAGUUCAAAUGACAUUUUUAGCGGCAUUAGGUUCAAUUUGAGGUCAUCUUACUGUAAAAGCUAAAUGAAAGCAAAGGUACUGCAAUACAAGAAAUUGGUGGUCAUUCUCCUAUAUAUUUUAAAUAUCUCAUAAGGAUUUUGUAUGGCUUGCUCUCUACUGGAUCUUGGGAGUAUUUUCACAUAGAUUUGAAUAUGAGAGCAUAAUGGUCAUAAUCUCUUUUAGCCGGGAAGGUAUCAUCAACAUCAAAUUUAAUCAGCAUUUGAGUAUGUACAAUGAAUAACAUCCUUUUGAUUGACAUCAAAGUCUAAAAGGAGUGAUAUGACCUCCUUAAGAUGCCAACUCAGAAAUGAUAGCAUGUCUGCUCAAGUAUACAAUGUAAUGGCCCAAUUUCCCUUUAAAAAAAUGUAUAAUAUAAUGAAUUGCAAUAGCGAUUGCUAAAUAAUCAGGAAUUUGUAGCAUGUGUGGCUCAUGCACAAACAUAAAAAAAAUUAGGCAUGCCAUUCCUACUUUGAAGAUGCCAGAUUGCUGACCCAGCCUGAUGAAAAAAUUGAAGGAUUGAUAAUAAGCCAUCCAAAGGGGUCAGACAACCAAUGCUUGUGCAUUCAUUAUAACCAACACACCUCAUUGUGAGCUGGUUAUGGCAAUUAAUGCAAUGAACUGUGAUCGAAGACUUGAGAUUUAAUGAAUGAGGAAAAGGACUCAGACCAACUCGAAUAACAUGAAGUCCUCAUGUAUAUUACCAUGAAUCAACAAAAAUAUAAGGUUUCAUGUCAUUCCUCAUGUCUUUCAUUUUAAUUAUUAAGAGCAAAAGUUUAUGCUGUGGAAAAGCUAACUCAAUAAUGAUGAAAGUGCUGAUCAAAUGUUUCUUGGUCAAUAAAAAGCAAACAAGUUGGUAUGAGUUGUCAAAAGUUGUCAUUAAGAUAUCAGUUGUCAAAUUCAAGUUGUUGACAUGUCAUCUCCAAAUGAACUGAUCACAUGUACAUGGUGUGCAGGUUGUCCUGCCUACCAAUCAAGAAAUCUGUCACAAGAUGCCACUAAGGUCAAUGAAUUGCAGUUCAGAAUAACCUUUUAAGUGCAGACCUGUGACAGAAAAAUCCACAGAUUAUCAACACUAACCUCUAUAAGGUAUAGAUCCAGACCCCACAAGCUUAGGAAAUAUACAAUCUUAGCAAUGUCGUGUAUGUGAGCAAGGGAUAACAAAUGAAAAACCCCAUGUAAAUCCAUCAUCUUGGACAAAAGCAACGCUGAGAAAGUUCAAGGCAUAAAGAUCUUAUAUCGACAAGUGACAACAUGUGCUUUACAACAUAUAGGCUUGAUUCAUGCAUACAAGUAACAACGUCUAAAUAGUCUUGCUCUCAAAGCUUGAGCAAAGUUGAUCCAGGCAAGAACAUCAAUGCAUUUAAUAGUACAAGAAAAUAAUAGACAUGCUUGUAGCGCAUGUCUACAACAUAUGAUAUUUGAUAAGUUUAACAGGUAGGAUGAAUAAACUAACAAGAAGUUGAGAAUGUUGUAUCAGAUAUGAAUAUGCUGUCUAGCUUGCUGGUGAUAAAUCACAACAAUUGAUAGCCUUGAAGUUUCUCUCCAUAGAUAAUUUGCCCCCACCUUUUUAUUUUAAAAAAAAACCUUUUUCUAGGUGUAUUCCUCACCAAGUUAUAACCACUACAACAAUAACUACCCAACUCUUGAUUAAACAUUGUAACUGCUCCACUCUUUAUCUUUGUUGCCAAUCUCAAGCUCGUUUUUCCACUUCUCAAGAUCAAUGUAACAAAAUGUGAAAAAGAUAAACUCCUGGACUUGGAUUGGACCCAUUUGUUACAAAAUAACCAAUGCUAUUGGUCAGGAAUUAGAAUUCAAAUCGCAUCCACACCGAAAACAAAAUACUGCUCUGUUGUAUCCAAAAAAUGAAAUUGUAGAAGAAUAGAAAACACUGAACAGCAAAACUAAAUAUGCCAAUCAUACUAAGAACUUUUUUCUCUUUUUUUUGUCAUUGAAAUCAUCAUGAGCACAAAAUCAAAAGGCAGAUUAAGACCACAACAGUAACCAUUUAUCCAUAACGAAUGCAAUCGUACAAAGAGGUCUUAAAGAACUACAAAGAGAACAAAGCCUUUUGUUUACAUCUUGCGUCCAAGUUUCUUUCUUUUUUGCUACAACCACUUCAAGAACCAACCUCCACAUCAUGUGCGAAGAGGAAUACCUGACUCUUCGGCGGAGGAGGGCUUCAAUGCAUUAAUCUUGAUUGAUACUUGCUCCAGCUCGUCCCCAUUUCCAGAGCUUGAAACUGAGCUAUCCGAUCCAAUGGGAGAAGCGCUGCCCAUGAAAUUCCCACAGUUUCGGCGGUGCAAGUUGGUCCUCCCGCUCGAACAGCCCCCACAAGUGCUUGGAGUUGCAGCAAUCUGGUCUCGUCUACCGAGAAGAAAGAUGCCAUCUUUUUCACGAUAACCCUCCCACUCUGCGUCGAUGAAUAAUAGCCGAUGAUCUUAGCUCACGAGCCCAUCUAUCUAAAUAUUUAGAAUUUAAAUAAAUUCUUAACCUGGUAUGAAGGUCCUUCCAUACUUUUUAUCCACAAAAACUUCUGCAUUAUUAGUCCCGAAAAACAUUUGGCUCAUAGAAAAAAAAAUUUUCUUACCGAAAUAUUAGUCCCAAAAGGCCGUGACUAAA
rnacentral:lncRNA from 1 species